rnacentral:lncRNA from 1 species
CUUAGCCCAGGUGGUAAGCGGAUGAACCCCAAACCUUUUGGUUUGGGGUUCAAAUCCUCUCAGCAGCAAGAAAAUGGAGCACUGUAGCGCGUUGACGGGCACUGUAGCGGGUCUGACCCGCGUUGACCACACGAUAUAUCGCGAGAAAUAGCCUAUAUAUCGCCAAAUCACCGAUAUAUCGCGAGAAAUCGGCGAUUUCUCGCGAGAAAUACCAAAAUAUCGUCGGACCGAUAUUUCUCCAUGAAAUAUCGUGUCGAAACCCUUCGAU